rnacentral:rRNA from 1 species
UACGUAGGGGGCAAGCGUUGUCCGGAAUCAUUGGGCGUAAAGCGCGUGUAGGCGGCCAGAUAAGUCCGCUGUGAAAUCUCGAGGCUCAACUUCGAGCUGUCGGUGGAAACUGUCUGGCUAGAGUCCGGAAGAGGAGAAUGGAAUUCCUGGUGUAGCGGUGAAAUGCGCAGAUAUCAGGAAGAACACCCGUAGCGAAGGCGGCACUCUGGGCCGAUACUGACACUGAGGAGCGAAAGCGUGGGGAGCGAACAGG